AAACGNGNGGGCAACCUGCCCUCCAGUUGGGGACAACAUUCCGAAAGGGAUGCUAAUACCGAAUGUGCUCCCUCCUCCGCAUGGAGGAGGGAGGAAAGAUGGCCUCUGCUUGCAAGCUAUCGCUGGAAGAUGGGCCCGCGUCUGAUUAGCUAGUUGGUGGGGUAACGGCUCACCAAGGCGAUGAUCAGUAGCCGGUCUGAGAGGAUGAACGGCCACAUUGGGACUGAGACACGGCCCAAACUCCUACGGGAGGCAGCAGUGGGGAAUCUUCCGCAAUGGACGAAAGUCUGACGGAGCAACGCCGCGUGAGUGAUGAAGGUCUUCGGAUUGUAAAACUCUGUUGUUNGGGACGNAAGCACCGUGUUCGAACAGGUCAUGGUGUUGACGGUACCUAACGAGGAAGCCACGGCUAACUACGUGCCAGCAGCCGCGGUAAUACGUAGGUGGCAAGCGUUGUCCGGAAUUAUUGGGCGUAAAGAGCAUGUAGGCGGGCUUUUAAGUCUGACGUGAAAAUGCGGGGCUUAACCCCGUAUGGCGUUGGAUACUGGAAGUCUUGAGUGCAGGAGAGGAAAGGGGAAUUCCCAGUGUAGCGGUGAAAUGCGUAGAUAUUGGGAGGAACACCAGUGGCGAAGGCGCCUUUCUGGACUGUGUCUGACGCUGAGAUGCGAAAGCCAGGGUAGCAAACGGGAUUAGAUACCCCGGUAGUCCUGGCCGUAAACGAUGGAUACUAGGUGU
rnacentral:rRNA from 1 species